CAAGGUUGUAUCUCUGGGUAUAAAGUGCUUAUUUAUUUCGAUUUUUGUUCACAUAAAACUUGUGUUACAAUAUAUUUUCGUGAGCGGCAUUAGUUAAAGGACCUGUAGGGCAGCAUUCUAACUGUGAAAAACACAUUCAUGUCUGAGCAAGCGGAAAUAUUACCAGACAUCUCUGUCCAUAUAAGGAGCAUCAUUCGGAUCUAGCAUGGUCAAUUCAUUGCGAACUUUUCCUCUAGUCAUACAGCCACUAGAAAGCCCUUGAACCGAUCGUAUUCAUACUUCCCCCAAUAUGGCAGACGCGUGUGUCGGAUCUGUGAGAUGGGAUCAGCUUAGGGCCACCAGUCUAUACAUAUUCAUCGUCUCCCCCGCCGACUGUUUGCACAUGUUAAUUUGGCGCGGCUAGAUUACAUGGUCAGUUACGUGUUAUUCGGUUAGAAUUCCGCAAAAAUAUCUUGUGCUCGGCGGCCAUGCAGCGGACUUUGAGACGAAAAAUGCAAAUGUUUGCUUUGUUGCAUUGCUUGGGUUUUUUGUCGAAAAAACGCACCAAAAGUGCAGGCUAACGGUGAGAUUUUUAGCAGGUAAAUUAGAAUUAAGGUGGUGUAGAAGGGUCGUUAAUUGAGGGUAAGUAAAUCGUCAACCAAGCCUCUGUCAAA
rnacentral:sRNA from 1 species